UAUUUUUACAUUUUACAGUUUGCCGGUUCCACCACAGCGAGCCUUAACUUUAUUUCUUUCUCUUUUUCAGCAAGGAUGGAAGGAACGACUCGGCAGCUGAAACAUAAAGUGGAGGAAAUGGGCGUUUCUGACGUUGAAAGAUUUUGGUUGAAGAAUCAGCCCAUGACUGUUAUUUCUCAUUGAAUGCGAGAACUUGGAGUAACUUCGCAGGAUCUCCUGCUGUAUGUCACGGAGUUCCUACGUGUUGCCUGCUACGGGAACAGCGAUGAACCUCCGCAGGGACAUGUGAUCGAAAUAACAAGAGACAAGAGUGGUUUUACCUACUGACAAUUAAUACUGAGUGGAAUGGCAGUUUUGCAGCUUCUUUUAUGUCUAGUGCCACCUAUUAAUAAAGAGACAUCAUGCUUGUUUCAGUGAACGGAUUGCUUGCCUCUUAGUAAGGUUCAUACUUCAAAUUAGCCCACGUCUCCGCCAUUUUGAUUGUACUCUCCAUUAUUAAAAUGAAUAAAGUAACAUAUUGACCUGU